GACCGGGCCCUGUGCAAUAGGAACCUAUGAACCCCGCCAGGUCCGGAAGGAAGCAACGGUAAAUGGGCCCUCCUAUGUGCCGCAGGUUCACCUGGUCUCU
rnacentral:SRP_RNA from 1 species